AGGAAAUGGUACUAUGUGGCCUAGAAGUAGGAAGUGUUCACUUAUGAGGUAUGCCAAAAUUUCCUUUCUUCAUGGUUUUGCUGAAUGUCCUAAUUAAAGUUUGUACUUGAAUGUUUUUCUUAACUUUUGUUUUAAUGUUAACAGCAUCACUAUUUCCAAGUGGAAAGCCAACCUGCUGGUAAAACUCCACUGACAGGUCUCCCUUUUUUAAUCACCAUUUUCCUUUAAAUGCCUACCACCUGAAAAAAGGUGAAAGCCAAGUUAGCUGCAAGUCCCAAAUAUGUUCUUGCAGCUGACUUGCAGCUGCCAUUAAGGUAGGAUUUUCUUCUCUUGUGCAGACAGACACCUGCUAAGCAUUACAGCUAACUGCAGUUUUUCUUUAAUCAGCCAAAACUGAGGUAGAGGUAAACUAUUGCCUCACUUGUGAAGACUAUUUUGGGUAAGCUCAUUCUUUUACAUAGCAUUUGAACCUUUGUAAAUAGUCCAACUGGUAAAUAGUGAGUGUAAAAUGGAAAAUAAAUGUAAUUUAAACAUUUUGUUACUCAGUACACAAAUGGCUAACUUCUACUUUUUUAACACAAAUUGUGUAAAAUGCUGCUAUAAAUUAAACUUGCGUGCUGUUACAUUUUUUUAGGAACAGUGUUGGUGCCACAAGCUGAUUCUUUAAUGAAUGGAAUCUUGUGCCAUAUACAAAUGCUUUUAAUCCAUAGAGGCUAAUGUUUUAGAGGUUUUGGUUCAUAAAAACUGCUCUUUUUGAAGAGGCAUAAAUAUUACUGAUCAGAAGUGGGCAUAAAUGAGAGCCACAAAUCAGCAAUCCUCUGAAUUUCAGAGUUAGGUGUCUUCUCUCAGAUCUCUGGCUCAGAACCAGCUCUGUGGUUCCUAAUUCCAGGUCACUUGAAAAACUAAAAAAGGAUUGUUGUCUAUAUCUAGCUCAGAUGCAGCCAGAGAUGAAAAUACUAUGAUCAGUUGAUCUUGUGAGAUUUUAAAUCCAUUUAACUCUGACCCCAAUCUGGACCUGAACACAAUCCAUUCAUCACAUCUCUACUACUGACUGAAGGUCUAGAAAAAAUUCUUAUUAAGCUUUCUCUAGAUGUUUAAUUUAAGUCAGACACCUUUUAAAAAGGAACAUCCAAUAUUCCAGUUACAACUAAUGUAUUGUCAUGGCACACCUGAUUUUUUUUCUUGUUUUUAGAUUGAACAAGUUUGCCUCUUAGUAUAAGCCAUUUAACUUCCUCUUUCAGUCUCAUACAUUGAUGCUCAUACUUUUGUUUAGUAGUCAUUUUAACACUUUAAAGUGAAUGCAUAACUAAUAAUCUUUGACAGCUUUCUUUGGAUGAUACAAUAUAAUCCAUAAAAAGUACAAGAUUCCUGGGCAAUUUCUCAUUCUGGAUCAUGAAAAUGCUUCAAUCUCUAAACUGUUUCAGACUCUUGGAAUUUAAAAAAGCUUGUACAAGGUAUUUGGUGGUGAUGCAUGAUCUUAUUUUGUAUCUCUUGAAUUAUGUAUUUGAUAAUGUAAAAAAUGUACAGUGUUGGUAUUGCUACCAAACUCAGUUGAUUGCCUAUAAAUAUUUUGAUUUUUUUUUCAUCGUACAGUCAAACAGCUAGUGCUCCAUGGAUUUUUUUUAAUACCAAUUCAUUGUAUAGGUUUCUUCAGUCUCUAUGCAACCUUCUAAGUGAAUGCCAAUAUUGCUUUUUGUUUGACCUCCUCUAAUGCCUUUCUGUAAUGCACAGAACAUUUAAACCAUGAAACAGGACAGUAAACAGUAACUGAUAAUAUUAUAGAAGUUACUGGGGUGACUCUGCUACAGGAAACCACUAUAGCAAAUAUGCAUUUCUCUUUGUCUUAACUGAAUUGAACAGUCUACAGAAACAUACUGCAAAACUUGGGCUAUGAAGGAUAACCUACUUGCAUCCGUGCCUGUAAAGAUUAAGUAUAGAAACAGUUUCCCCAAGAGUUUGGCCUUUUGUCACCCUCUCUAAUAAUCUCCUCUGUUCCAAUUUGGUUUUAGUUGAUUAGAGGUGGUCCUAUGGCUUACAUUUAUGCAUUCUGUGUGUGAAUUUAAACUUUCCCUUUACCUCUCCCACCAGAUCAUGGUGCUAAACUAGCAGCAACUGCCUUGAUGUGAAUUGUAAAAAAUCUGAUCAGUUGUGCCACUUCCAACAACCUCUCCCCCAGCAGUCAUGUUUUUUAAAAAUGAUACAAGACAAAGCAUGUGGUAUUAAGUGCAAUGACUGCAAUUCAUACAAAUUGGAAUUUCAUUAAAAUGAAUAACCUAAAUUAAAAAGGGCAUGUGUGUUAACAUGACAAGCACACUGAAGUAUUACCUGGACUGACAAGUUUAGCUUGGUAUUUUUUACACCAUUAACUUGACCCAAGCUUGGCCCAUUUAACAAUGGGCUAUGGAGAAAAAUUGAGAGUAAAAUACAGCUAAUUCUUUCUCAUUUAGAGAAAUGAGAUCUGAAAGAGAAAAAUCCUUAAGUUGUAAACAUUAUGACAUGCUUGCAUGGAUUUUCUUUAAAGAUUGAUAAGGAUUUUGACUUUUUAUAUUUGAGAUAAACAUCAAAAUAAAAUCUAAACUAGUACUGUGGA